ensembl:lncRNA
GUAAAGUAGAGGAGCACAGAGCCAUAACAAAUCAAAAUAUGCCAGUGUCCAAAUACUUUUUUUCUGCAGUACAGUUGACCAAAGCUAUACUUGGAUACAAGACUGAUGACUCAAUAACCAGUAUUGACAACAGUGAAGAUGGUUAUGUCCCAAGGCCAUCAGGAUCAUAAGAGGAAGGCAAUUUCUAUGAAGAAAAUCUGACCGGUAUGCCUAUACCUUACAUACACAUAGACCUAUUCUUAAUUACAAUGUCCUUUUCGAAAAUGACAUGUUUUCCACUGAUGUUUUCCAGGAGACAUGUCAGCGAUUCGGGCCAAACAGCCAAUAACCAAGGGAAAGCCAUGAAAGACAGAGGGAAGUCCAGGACUAGGACACAAGAGACCAGUCAGAACAGUUCUGAGAACAGCCUGACUGACAUCCUCAGUGUCCGGUGUGCCAGUGAUAUUGUCCUACAGCCCAUGCCACCAGGGAGAAAGAAUAGCCAAUCCCACUUCCACAACAAAGAUGUGACUAAAGAGAGAGCUGACUUGGGAAGGCUUCCAAUGGCCCCUCCACCCAUCAGCCUCCCAAUGCUCACCGUGACCUCGCUCACUGUCCAAAGGAUCAAAAACACCCUCAAAGUACCUCUCAUGCCUCUCUGCAGCUGGAGGGACAGAUGGGUAGCAAGCGUCUGGGUCCGGUCAAAACCAAAACCGGAUGUUUUUUUUUACCUCCAGCCAGAAGCAGGAGCCAGAGGUUAAAUCAAGCAGAUCACAGACACCAGGAAGGCCCAAUGUAUGCUCCACUGCAGCCAAGGAAGUAGCUCCUUUAUCUGGGACUCCAUGCAGCCAGUCUGAGGUCAGGAUCCAGGCCAUUACGUUAUUAUAAACUAGUGUUUUUCCACUUUCAAAGGACAUUCUAAUUCCUGGCAAAAUGUUCAUAAAUUGAUAAAAAUGAAAGAUUCACAGACUAAGGCCUACCUUCAAUUUGGACUUCCAGAUAAUUUGCACACGUAGUAUUUGACUACAGUUUCAACAAUAUAUUAUUGAAAACAGAAACACAAGACCUUGUUUUUAAAAAAUACUUUUUUUGUCACAAAUCACAAACCAUAACAGUUUUUUCUGACAUUUAUUGAUCAAAUAAAGUUCUCAUAAAAUAAAAGUAAUGUGUUUGAGAUUAUUUAAUUAAAUUAUAGGUCCUACCUCAGUUCAGGAAGAGCGUCAAUGACCUGUCUAUGGAAUGUCUUAUUUUAACAAAAGAAUGCUUCAUUAUGACAUCAUGUACAUUAUGACAUAGCAGCCGUCCACAUCAUAAAAGUUUGUCUAAACCACUUGAAUAGGCAUGAAAUGUAAAAUUAAAUACAAUAGGG